rnacentral:rRNA from 1 species
AUACUGUCUCCUUUCUCCAAUCAGUGAAACUGAUCUCCCCGUGAAGAAGCGGGGAUAAAACUAUUAGACGAGAAGACCCCAUGGAGCUUUAAGCCCAAUAACACCUCUUAUGAAAUAAUUCUACAUAACAUACGAACCCUGUUUAUUGGCUUUAGGUUGGGGUGACCGCGGAGUAUAAUUUAACCUCCACGACGAAAGGCAUAAAACCCUUAUCCAAGAGCAACUGCUCUAAGAAUCACUAAAUUGACGUACAAUGAUCCGAUUUUCGAUCAACGAACCAAGUUACCCUGGGGAUAACAGCGCAAUCCAUUUUUAGAGCCCCUAUCGACAAAUGGGUUUACGACCUCGAUGUUGGAUCAGGGUAUCCUAGUGGUGCAGCCGCUACUAAAGGUUCGUUUGUUCAACGAUUAAAACCCUACGUGAUCUG